UCUUGGUUAGCUCCGUUGGUAGAGCGCUCCACGAAAAAUAGAGAGGCCCCUUGUUCGAUACCAGGACCAGGCG
rnacentral:tRNA from 1 species